GGUCCAAUAGUACAGGUUAGUGUGCCAGCUUAUAAUAUGUUUGGUAUAAUUACGCAAGUUGGAGGGCUCUGUUCAAUUCAGGGUUAGGUUA